AUCGCUUCUCAGCCUUUUGGCUAAGAUCAAGUG
rnacentral:snRNA from 1 species